rnacentral:rRNA from 1 species
AUUCCAGCUCCAAUAGCGUAUAUUAAAGUUGUUGCGGUUAAAAAGCUCGUAGUUGGAUUUCUGUCAACGAGUGGCGCUCCGCCCCUUGUGGUGAGUAGUCGUCAUGCCGUUGGCAUCUUUCUGGGGAGUGUAUCUGCACUUCAUUGUGUGGUGCAUAAGCCAGGACAUUUACUUUGAGGAAAUGAGAGUGUUUCAAGCAGGCGCACGCCGUGAAUACGUUAGCAUGGAAUAAUAGCAUCGGAUCUCGCUCCAAAGCUGUUGGUUUCUUGGGUCGAGAUAAAGGUGAAUAGGGAUUGUUGGGGGCAUUCGUAUUUAACUGUCAGAGGUGAAAUUCUUGGAUUUGUUGAAGACGGACUACUGCGAAAGCAUCUGCCAAAGAUGUUCUCAUUGAUCAAGAACGAAAGUUAGGUGAUCGAAGACGAUCAGAUACCGUCCUAGUCUUAACUAUAAACCAUGCCGGCUAGAGAUCGGAGGUUGUUCGUUUUGUGACGCCUUCAGCAUCUUGAGAGAAAUCAAAGCCUUUGGGUUCCGGGGGGAGUAUGGUCGCAAGGCUGAAACUUAAAGGAAUUGACGGAAGGGCACCACCAGGAGUGGAGCCUGCGGCUUAAUUUGACUCAACACGGGGAAACUCACCAGGUCCAGACUGGGUAAGGAUGUACAGAUUGACAGCUCUUUACAGAUUCUCAGGGUGGUGGUGCAUGGCCGUUCUUAGUUGGUGGAGUGAUUUGUCUGGUUAAUUCCGUUAACGAACGAGACCUUAACCUGCUAAAUAGCGUCGAGUUUCUUCUUGAAACGAAGAUGUCUUCUUAGAGGGACGUCGCGUGUCUAACGCGAGGAGGUGUGAGGCAAUA